GCGAAUUGGGAAUGAGAUAUUCUGUAAUCUUCUGUGUGUGCUUCUAACUCUGCUGUUGGGCUAUGCGCCGUCGAUCGGAAAAGUAGUCGAAGAGAAAUGGUCAGCCGCCGUGUCAAUGUUCCAAGAAUGGAGAGCUCGUCAUUCCAUCUGUCGUCACUGUGGUACUUCGCCAUGUCAGGUCAAAAUGAGAUCCUUGUGGAAGCCCACCGGAUCUCGUAAGAAAGACAAGGCGAAUUUCGCAAAAAGGUCAAACGCCAUGAUGUUGUUUUACUAUGGACUAGAGUUGUCCGUGUUACUGACCAAGGAGCUGCCAUGAAAUGACCUGCACUUGGAGAGGAAGUUCGUCCAGCAUUUUGAGGAGGAGCAUAUGGUAUUGUUCCCAGUGUGCAUUCAGCGUCAGAUCAAGUACUGGUACCCUGUCCCUCGCUAGAGUCGUUGCGUCGUUCAAAUGGGUGGGAUGUGGAUGGCAGUCGGAGCUGGAAUAGAAGUGUGAGGAUUGACGUCACAGCCUCGAUUUGGCUGUCUUUGGGUUUUUUGUCACGAUUAGUUCCAAAAGGAAUGUUUUUUGACCAGUGGU